GGUAGGGCCGCAGAGCGCGCAUGCCCGUGUGUGCAGGCGAAGCGCGUCCAUUCUCACACCAGGAAGAGCUGCCCCGUCCUGCGACCUGGCCCGAGGCGCCAAGGGAGACUGGAAACUGCUCUCCUCCAGCAUCGAAAUGACCACGAAAGGGAAAUGUUUUGCAUCUAGUCAGGACAUCCAAGGCAGCCACCACAGUCCUACUAAGGCACUCAGGAAACAGGACUCCAGAGCUGCUUCAGAAAGUGACAAGAAUGAUAGCUUCAUAUGCACUGUGCUCUCACAUGCUGUGGACCAAGGCCAGUCACACUGAGGCCACAUCAUGGGGCAGAGCAGAAGCCACGUCCCCUCAGUGUCCCUGGAGGCCACUGGGCACUGUGCCCUGACCUGACUGAGGUGGCCUGGUGGCCCAGACCAGCAUUUUUAUAACCUGCUUCAAACAGAAUAAACACAACGAGCAAGAG